CGCCCGCUGGCUGGGCGGUUGCGGCGGGGUCUAUGCGUGGUUGGGUUUGGCCCGCGAGUCCUCAACACUUCCGGCGCUGAGGAGUAGGGGAGAGUCAAAGACAGUCCGAAAUCCAGCAUCCAGCAGAGACAGGUCCUUCCCCCCUGCCUCUCCCUUCCUAGCGCCCCCUCUCCUUUCCUCUCCUCCGCUCCGCUCUUUUUUUCUCCUUCUUCUUCCUGAGGCGGCUGCUUGCUGCUGCUGCUCCGGGCGCGCUUCUCUGUUCCCGAGCCGCUUGCUCGUCCGUUUCCCCGUGCCUCCUUCUCCGGUCCCCGUCCUUCUCGUCUCUCCUCCUUCCUCCUCCUCCCCCCUCAUCUCCCCUUUUCUCUUCCCCCUUUGCCUUUUUUUUUUUUUUUUUUGUUCCUCUUUCCUUUCUUCCUUCUUCUCUCUUUCAGCAGAUUAUUUGGCUACAAUAGCAGCGAGGUCGCCACCCAGGCUCCAACUCUACCUCCCUUCCUCCGGGAGAAUUAAAAAAAAAAAAAAAAAAAAAAAAAAAGAAAGAAAAGAAAAAGAAAGUGCGGUGCGAACACAAUCGAGGGGGGAUGGAUGGUGCGCUGCGGGCAAAAAUCCUGGCGAACCUUUCUCGAGAGCCCCGGCAGCCCCUCUCUGCCCGCCCGCUCCUCCGAGGGCUCACGGGGACAGCGGGGCAAGCGGUGCGGCGAACGCGCUGCCGGAGACGGCACUCUUCCUCCCUCUGUUUUGUGCGCGGUUUGUUGGUGGUGGUUGGUUGUUGUUUGUUUUUAAUCCUCUUAGGCUGUGUGGAUAGUAGGAUAUGUAUGGCCUCGAGUGUUGGGAAAAGCUUGUUGCCGAGCUCUGGGAGAGUGAGUGAGAGAAGGAGCGACGCAAAGAGCUCUGCCUGGAUGGAACAGCAUCAGCCAGCGCCCUGCCCCGCCGGCUGGAGGGGCAAGCGAAACCCCACGCCGAACACACACAUACACACACACACUCCACGCACGCAAACGCGGGGGGAGGGUGACGUCACUCCGCUCCGGCCCGGGGCGCAUCCCGGCGGGCAGCGGGCGGGGCAGGAUCGGGCCGGGUUGCUCCUGGCUGUCCUGGCCGGACGACUUCGGCAAGUCGUGAUGCUCGUCAUCUCCCUCCCUCAAAACUUCCUUCGGGAAGGAGGAACUGAGAGAAUGUUCUUGAGAGGUUGUGACAAAGUUCAUGAAGACAAAGAAAAGUAAGAGACAUUUGGCAGAUCUCACUGACUCACACAGCGACAACAGUAUCGCCUCUCAUAAGCCUUGAUGUCUGCAGACAUGAAGGUUGAAUUCAGCUAUUUCAUAGAUUAAGUAAGUAUCAGAAUCAACAUGUUAGAAUCCAUCACGUUAUACCUGUCAGGAAAACAAAUGAUACUGGUAACAACACUUAUAUGUAAAGAAAUUGUCUUUCAUAUUCAACACACCUUAGUAAUCCAAAGUGUUAACUCUGAAGUGAGUGGAGUGGCCUGCUCUCUGCUGUCAAAUCCCUGCAGCCUGGUGCCUUGGGUGAAGAACAGGUAUUGCCUUUUUUCAGUCAGAGGGAGUGAAAGCUGACUACUGCCUUGUCAAUGUUUCUACUUUACCUGUAGCAAUUUAUCAGUACCAGAGACACAUGACAGAUUUGCCAUUGAGCUUAAAAAGCAGCCCUACGCUUGAGAAAACAGUUCCAUUUCUUUCCCACUGUUCUUUUUCAGAAACAGCUCAUGCCUGAGCAAAGAUGAGAAGUGGUGUAUGCAGCUAGUAAGCCUGGAUAAUUCACAUGGACUUCUUCACUUCUAGAUUUCUGGGAGGUUGUAUUUUCUUCUUUUGAAGCCUUAUGCAGACACAUACAUUCAAACAUAAAUGUUGUUUUAUAGUGUCACAUGCCCAAAGCUCCAGGUAAUAUCUUGGAAUUCACAUAAUCUCUAAAGUAUAGAGACCUGUUAUUGCUGUGUUAUUUUCCAAUACAUGAUGUUGAACAGUAUCCGUCUGCCUACCUCUCUUAUUCC
ensembl:lncRNA